AGCCGUCCCUAAUUUAGCAGUGGAAGUGUUUGUUUGUAGUUAAGCACAAAGCUACACAAUAGGCUAUCUGUGCACUGUUUCACCACGGGCAUCGAACCCCUAUUUAAAGGGCGUUGUAAGCCCACCGACAUACC